rnacentral:lncRNA from 1 species
CGGUGACGUUUGGUCUGAGCUGACCUUUCCUCACAAUCGUGAAUUUGGGCUGUGAGGAUCAGGCCUUGCCAGAACCCGAGAUGAGAGGUGAGAGAUUUCUGGGUCAGUAAGGGUGAGAGCCAGGCUCCAGACUAUAGUGAAUUUUCCGAGGAGAUUUGUGUGGGUCCUGAAUGCCAUCCCAAGUGUCCUUAUAAGAGAGAGGCAAAAGAGGCAAUAGAGACACAGAAAAGAAAGCCAUGUGAAGAUGGAGCAGAGAGAUACACGGCCAUAAGCCAAGGAAUGCUGACAGCUGCCAGAAGCUGGAAGAAGGCAAGGAAUGGACUCUCCCCUACAGCCUCCAGAGGCAAUGCAGCCCUGCCAACACUUUGAUUUUAGACUUCUGGCCUAUAGAACUGAGAAAGAAUAAAUUUCUGUUCUUUUCAGCUACUAAGUUUGUGAUCACUUGGUGCAGCAUUUACAGGAAACAAAUACACCUCUCCUUCUAGAACUCCAAUUAUGUGAACAUUAGACCAUCUAAUAUUGCCCCACAUGUUCC